AUUGAACGCUGGCGGCAGGCCUAACACAUGCAAGUCGAACGAGUGGCGGACGGGUGAGUAAUGUCUGGGAAACUGCCUGAUGGUGGGGGAUAACUACUGGAAACUGUAGCUAAUACCGCAUACCAUCAGAUGUGCCCAGAUGGGAUUAGCUAGUUGGUGGGGUAACGGCUCACCAAGGCGACGAUCCCUAUCUGGUCUGAGAGGAUGACCAGCCAAACUGGAAGUGUGACACGGUCCAGACGCCUACGGGAGGGAGCAGUGGGGAAUAUUUCACAAUGGGCGCAAGCCUGAUGCAGCCAUGCCGCGUGUAUGAAGAGGGCCUUCGGGUUGUAAAGUACUUUCAGCGGGGAGGCGUUACCCGCAGAAGAAGCACCGGCUAACUCCGAGCCAGCAGCCGCGGUAAUUC
rnacentral:rRNA from 1 species